CCUACGGGAGGCAGCAGUGAGGAAUAUUGGUCAAUGGACUAGAGUCUGAACCAGCCAAGUAGCGUGAAGGAUGACUGCCCUAUGGGUUGUAAACUUCUUUUAUAUGGGAAUAAAAUGUUCCACGUGUGGGAUUUUGUAUGUACCAUAUGAAUAAGGAUCGGCUAACUCCGUGCCAGCAGCCGCGGUAAUACGGAGGAUCCGAGCGUUAUCCGGAUUUAUUGGGGUUAAAGGGAGCGUAGGUGGAUUGUUAAGUCAGUUGUGAAAGUUUGCGGCUCAACCGUAAAAUUGCAGUUGAAACUGGCAGUCUUGAGUACAGUAGAGGUGGGCGGAAUUCGUGGUGUAGCGGUGAAAUGCUGAGAUAUCACGAAGAACUCCGAUUGCGAAGGCAGUUCACUGGACUGCAACUGACACUGAGGCUCGAAAGUGUGGGUAUCAAACAGGAUUAGAUACCCCUGUAGUC
rnacentral:rRNA from 1 species